rnacentral:rRNA from 1 species
AGCGAACGCUGGCGGCAGGCCUAACACAUGCAAGUCGAACGGAUCCUUCGGGAUUAGUGGCGGACGGGUGAGUAACACGUGGGAACGUGCCCUUUGGUUCGGAACAACUCAGGGAAACUUGAGCUAAUACCGGAUGUGCCCUUCGGGGGAAAGAUUUAUCGCCAUUGGAGCGGCCCGCGUCUGAUUAGCUAGUUGGUGAGGUAACGGCCCACCAAGGCGACGAUCAGUAGCUGGUCUGAGAGGAUGAUCAGCCACACUGGGACUGAGACACGGCCCAGACUCCUACGGGAGGCAGCAGUGGGGAAUCUUGCGCAAUGGGCGAAAGCCUGACGCAGCCAUGCCGCGUGAAUGAUGAAGGUCUUAGGAUUGUAAAAUUCUUUCAGCGGGGACGAUAAUGACGGUACCCGAAGAAGAAGCUCCGGCUAACUUCGUG